GUUGAACUGAAUGCUGGAGUAGUUCUCCCCGGCGCCCCCCUGUGGUUCACAAGAGAGAAGCGGGAGAACGUAACUGCGAGGAUCAAAACUAUGAGGAGAGCGAUGGCCGCUGCUGAAGCUGUUGCAAUCAAUACCAGAUUUUCUUUGAGGAGUGAGAGAAAAACAAUCAGUCCAUUAGAGCUGCAGACAGACAGACAGACAGCUCGCCCCCACCCGUUUGGUUUAGCGAUACAGUAUAACCCCUUUUUGCUGUUUGUUUAACGACAUUCUCCUGGAGUUUAGUUUCAUUAAAGCACCAGCUUUAGCAGACAGACAGUGCCCACACAAUGCUGUUUCGUCUGACACAAGGCUGUGUGGAGGCUGUGUGGUCCAGUGGUUAAAGAAAAGGGCUUGCAACCAGGAGGUCCCUGGUUUGAAUCCCACCUCUGCCACUGACUUAUUGUGUGACCCUGAGCAAGUCACUUAACCUCCUUGUGCUCCGUCUUUCCGGUGAGACGUAGUUGUAAGUGACUCUGCAGCUGAUACAUAGUUCACACACCCUAGUCUCUGUAAGUCGCCUUGGAUAAAGGUGUCUGCUAAAUAAACAAAUAAUAAUAACAAUGUCAUUCUGUCUGGGUUUCUGUGUUAGUUUACUAAUUUUUUUAUAGUUUUGUUUUAUUAAAGCUUCAGACAGACAGUGUCUUGCGAUCCUGUUCAGUUUGACACUACAGUAUCAUUCUGUCUGGGUGUCUGUUAGUUUAUUACAUUUUUUCACAGUUCAUUAUCAUUAGGCCACUCAUGUUCAGAUUGACCCUGGAAUUCAAGUUAUUGGUGUCUGUUGUAAAGAUAACAGGUAAAUGGGUAAAAUCUUGUUGAAUAAAUAAACUGUAAAUUGUUAACACAUUUCCUGCUUCUCUUUUGCAAAUGAUGCAUGGCUCAGUGUGUAAUAAAUCUCUCUUUAUAACUGUACUGACUCUUCUGAUGUGUUCGAAGUACUGCAGGAAGAGGGCAGCAGCCCGUCAAUAUUCGCCUGUCAGUCAUGACAGUGAAAUGGAGAGGUGGGAGAGUGGGUGUGCAGGCUUUCCUUCUCUCUGAGCGGCUGAGAGGCGUUUCUUGGGGGGGAUUGCUGGCCCUAUAAGAUAACAUUCUGCUGUUCCCUCAGGUCUGCCCUCUGAGACGUACUGAGCAUACGGAAGCUCUGGUCCAGGAUCGAGAACUACAGGGACGGAAAUCCCAAUGAAAAGAAAAGAAAAAGAAAAGAAAAAGAAUUCAUGGUAGCGGGGAAAACCUUGGGCAGCCCCGAUAAACAUUUGUAUAGCAGGUUGAGGGAGCCGUGAGUGUAGUACAGAGACCCGGGCCGGUUGGGGGAAGCUGCCGAGCGCAGCACCUUUUAUUUGUAGUUUUGUUUAUUGUGCUUUAUUUUCCCUGUUCCUUUCGCCUUUUGAUUAUUCUUGUGUUUGAGCACCUGUAUUCUGUACUGCUCCCGGUAUAGUUAUGGCUCUGUCUGUACCAUCGCUGGUAAGGCAGACCACAGACAACAGUGCCCUCUGCGGGCUGAAAAGAAAUUACCUACCCAUAAUAAAACUGGGCACCUGUGCAGUGUUCCCAAUUAC